CGUGGCGCUGGCCGAUGGCGCGGCCGAGGACUACCGCUUCCUGUUCGGCCCCGCCUUCGACGAUGCAGAGAUCGCGGCGCUGCGCGACAG
rnacentral:tRNA from 1 species